AAACAUUCCGUCUUCGAGAGAGAGAUCAUCUGAGUCUACUCCAUCUCCGACAUUUAAUCAUCCCAAUCAUCGGAGGAUAGAGGAAAUCGUGGAACAAAGAUCACGAAGAUUUAUGCGAGCAGCUGUAUCAAUGUCACCUACUAGUGUAAUUUCUCAAGCAGCAACUGAAGCAAUUAUCAAUGGCUUAAAACCUCUUGUUUCAUGCCUGUGCACUUCAGAGGACUUACUAGAAUGUGAAGAAGCCAUAUUGACUAUAGCAAAGAUAUGGAAUGACUCGAAACUUGAAUCUCAAGGAGUUCACUCUUAUUUAUCAGCACCAACAAUAGUGAACGGAUUUGUAGAGGUACUAUCAGCUUCCAUAAAGAGAGAAGUUUUGAAGACGACAAUUUAUAUCUUGUCCGAGCUACUGUAUGCAGAUGAUAGCAUUGGCGAGAUCCUCACAAGUGUAGACUCGGAUUUUGAGUGCCUUGCUACUUUAUUGAAAGAUGGUCUUCCUGAAGCAGCAGUACUUAUCUACCUACUCAGGCCAUCAUUCUCUCAACUUUCAGCUCAUAAUUUUGUACCCUCUCUUACUCAGAUCAUAUCAAACAGAAAUGAGGAUUCUAGUCAUUUUCAGUUCACAAUAGGAACAAAGGAAGCGGCUGUUGCGUUGCUCGAACAAAUUAUAACCGGAGGAGGUGAGAGUGACCGAUCUUUCAAUGCUAUACAGGUUA
rnacentral:misc_RNA from 1 species